CUACGGGUUGCUGCAGUGAGGAAUUUUGCGCAAUGGGGGAAACCCUGACGCAGCAACGCCGCGUGAGUGAUGAAGGCCUUCGGGUCGUAAAGCUCUGUCAAGUGGGAAGAACCUACCUAUGGGUAAUAUUCAUGGGUACUGACGGUACCACUGAAGGAAGCACCGGCUAACUCCGUGCCAGCAGCCGCGGUAAUACGGGGGGUGCAAGCGUUAUUCGGAAUUAUUGGGCGUAAAGGGCGCGUAGGCGGUCUUGUUAGUCAGAUGUGAAAGCCCGGGGCUCAACCCCGGAAGUGCAUUUGAUACUGCAAGACUUGAGUAUGGGAGAGGGAAGUGGAAUUCCUGGUGUAGAGGUGAAAUUCGUAGAUAUCAGGAGGAACAUCUGUGGCGAAGGCGACUUCCUGGACCAAUACUGACGCUGAGGCGCGAAGGCGUGGGUAGCAAACAGGAUUAGAUACCCGCGUAGUC
rnacentral:rRNA from 1 species